GAAAGGGCCCAAGAACUGCUAACUCACAAACCUGAUACUGAACCAUCAGACCUUUC
rnacentral:tRNA from 1 species